UAAUGUUACAGCUCUUUUAGAAUUUGUCUAGCAGGCUUUCUAGUUUUUGCUGGAAAGCCCAG
ensembl:snRNA U7 U7 small nuclear RNA